rnacentral:rRNA from 1 species
AUUGAACGCUGGCGGCAGGCUUAACACAUGCAAGUCGAGCGGAGAGAGGUAGCUUGCUACUGAUCUUAGCGGCGGACGGGUGAGUAAUGCUUAGGAAUCUGCCUAUUAGUGGGGGACAACAUCUCGAAAGGGAUGCUAAUACCGCAUACGUCCUACGGGAGAAAGCAGGGGAUCUUCGGACCUUGCGCUAAUAGAUGAGCCUAAGUCGGAUUAGCUAGUUGGUGGGGUAAAGGCCUACCAAGGCGACGAUCUGUAGCGGGUCUGAGAGGAUGAUCCGCCACACUGGGACUGAGACACGGCCCAGACUCCUACGGGAGGCAGCAGUGGGGAAUAUUGGACAAUGGGGGGAACCCUGAUCUAGCCAUGCCGCGUGUGUGAAGAAGGCCUUAUGGUUGUAAAGCACUUUAAGCGAGGAGGAGGCUACUUUAGUUAAUACCUAGAGAUAGUGGACGUUACUCGCAGAAUAAGCACCGGCUAACUCUGUGCCAGCAGCCGCGGUAAUAC